AAUGAAGGAAUCGUGUUGCGCUCCCCUCAGUCCCUGAGACCCUAACUUGUGAUGUUUACCGUUUAAAUCCACGGGUUAGGCUCUUGGGAGCUGCGGGUCGUGCCUUUGCAUCGCUGAAGGAA
rnacentral:precursor_RNA from 7 species